GACGUAGGGGGCCAGCGUUGUUCGGAAUUACUGGGUGUAAAGGGUUCGUAGGCGGUGCGGCAAGUUGGGAGUGAAAUCUCUGGGCUUAACCCAGAGGCUGCUUCCAAAACUGCUGUGCUUGAGUGUGGGAGAGGCGCGUGGAAUUCCACGUGUAGCAGUGAAAUGCGUAGAGAUGUGGAGGAAUACCGAUGGCGAAGGCAGCCCCCUGGGCCAAUACUGACGCUCAUGCACGAAAGUGUGGGGAGCAAACAGG
rnacentral:rRNA from 1 species